CCUACGGGGGGCAGCAGUGAGGAAUAUUGGUCAAUGGGCGCGAGCCUGAACCAGCCAAGUCGCGUGAGGGAAGACGGUCCUAUGGAUUGUAAACCUCUUUUGUCGGGGAGCAAAAGACGCCACGCGUGGCGUUCCGUGAGUACCCGAAGAAAAAGCAUCGGCUAACUCCGUGCCAGCAGCCGCGGUAAUACGGAGGAUGCGAGCGUUAUCCGGAUUUAUUGGGUUUAAAGGGGGCGCAGGCGGAAGAUUAAGUCAGCGGUAAAAUUGAGGGGCUCAACCUCUUCGAGCCGUUGAAACUGGUUUUCUUGAGUGAGUGAGAAGUAUGCGGAAUGCGUGGUGUAGCGGUGAAAUGCAUAGAUAUCACGCAGAACUCCGAUUGCGAAGGCAGCAUACCGGCGCUCAACUGACGCUCAUGCACGAAAGUGUGGGUAUCGAACAGGAUUAGAUACCCUUGUAGUC
rnacentral:rRNA from 1 species